rnacentral:rRNA from 1 species
CUUUCUUUGCUGGCGACCGGCGCACGGGUGAGUAACACGUAUCCAACCUGCCCUUUACUCGGGGAUAGCCUUUCGAAAGAAAGAUUAAUACCCGAUAGCAUAAUGAUUCCGCAUGGUUUCAUUAUUAAAGGAUUCCGGUAAAGGAUGGGGAUGCGUUCCAUUAGGUUGUUGGUGAGGUAACGGCCCACCAAGCCCUCGAUGGAUAGGGGUUCUGAGAGGAAGGUCCCCCACAUUGGAACUGAGACACGGUCCAA